UUCAUGAGCUUUUAAUGAAAGUUUAUAUUUAUUAUACAAGUAUUUGAUUCUAUAGGUCAGAAUGACUUAUAAUACUCUGUCUUUUGUUCCUGUAGAAACUCUACGUCUGCCGUCGCUGGCAGUUAUCGACCUGCUGCUCAACAAACACCGUGAGCAGAAGGACAUGCUGAAGCUUGUGGACCAGGACUACGCUGCUCUAGUUCACAACUCCUGCACAGACCCCAACAGCAUGCUCCACCCGACAACAAAACUACAUGUUCUACAAUAUGUAAAGCACCUCAGCAAAUUGUUGAACACCAGUUCCUCUUUAAACGUCAGUCCAGAAAAACUGCAAGAGAGGCAGAAACUCUGUCACUCUCUGACAGAGGCGAGUGAGACUACUAGUGUGCAGGUUGUUACGAUGUCUGUUGCAUUUGUUCACCCACCUCCACCUGUUCAGAUGCUGACACAAGCUUCUAUUGAGAAGAUUGUACCCAACAUCAUGGAAAAGCAGCAGCAACAUAAACAGGAACAACAACAACAACCGGGGCAAAAGAAGGGCUGCACGAAAGACAAAGUUCUUUCAGCUAGAACUGGAUGCCACACAGAAAAGUUCCAUCUAGCAUUUUAAGUCCAAUUAUUUGUAAUAUUCAUGUUGUAAUUAGUUUAUAUAUUGGUUUCUUGCAUUUGUGACUUUGUACAUUGAAAUAUUAUCAUUUUAUUCUUUAUAUUUGGUUUUAAUAUUCAUUAGUUUAAUUAUUUAGAUGUCUUUAUUUCUGUAACAUUUUUGUUUGUAUAGGACUAUACAAAUCGGUUGAUGUAUCUGUGUUCAACAUUUACUGUCCAAGUUAAUAAAUAUAUUUCAAUUACUAAUGUCUACAUGUGUCAUCAAUAAGUGAAUCACUGUAGUGAACAGUAAAAUAAGUUGGUCUGUAAGUACAAUCUAGUGAUAACCAGUAGACAGCAGAUUGGGGUAAACAUUUCCUUUAUUUGUUAUUUGAGAUGGAUAAGGUAGGAUGGAGUGGGAGGUGAAGGAAGGUGUUCUUCCACGUGUCCAGUCUCAGGCACAAUAUUUACUUAAAUGUACAUGAAAUAAAAAUAAGGCAGAAAUGAGGUAAGGGGAAAUGUGCAAAACUGAGCAGAUUGUAAAAAUGAAAAGAUGAAAUGAAAUGUGUGCAAUAUAAAUUAACAGUACAGUUAAUUAAAGCCGACCAAUUAAAAAAAAAAAAACAUUUAAAUAAAUGUACAUGAAAUAAAAAUAAGGCAGAAAUGAGGUAAGUGAAAAUGUGCAAAAC
ensembl:lncRNA